UUGUCUCAAAGAUUAAGCCAUGCAUGUCUCAGUACAAGCCAAAUUAAGGUGAAACCGCGAAAGGCUCAUUCAANAUCAGUUAUGGUUCCUUAGAUCGUACCCACAUUUACUUGGAUAACUGUGGUAAUUCUAGAGCUAAUACAUGCAAACAGAGCCCCGACCGGAAACGGAAGGGGCGCUUUUAUUAGAUCAAAGCCAAUCGGUGUCGGUCUUUUCCGUCAUCGUACCAUUUGGUGACUCUGAAUAACUUUACGCUGAUCGCACGGUCUCGCACCGGCGACGCAUCUUUCAAAUGUCUGCCUUAUCAACUGUCGAUGGUAGGUUCUGCGCCUACCAUGGUUGUAACGGGUAACGGGGAAUCAGGGUUCGAUUCCGGAGAGGGAGCCUGAGAAACGGCUACCACAUCCAAGGAAGGCAGCAGGCGCGCAAAUUACCCACUCCCGGCACGGGGAGGUAGUGACGAAAAAUAACGAUACGGGACUCAUCCGAGGCCCCGUAAUCGGAAUGAGUACACUCUAAACCCUUUAACGAGGAUCAAUUGGAGGGCAAGUCUGGUGCCAGCAGCCGCGGUAAUUCCAGCUCCAAUAGCGUAUAUUAAAGUUGUUGCGGUUAAAAAGCUCGUAGUCGAAUUUGUGUCUCGUGCCGCCGGUUCAUCGUUCGCGGUGUUAACUGGCGUGUCGCGAGACGUCCUGCCGGUGGGCUUAGCUCGCAAGGGCGGCCCAACUCAAUCCCGCCGCGGUGCUCUUCACUGAGUGUCUUGGUGGGCCGGCACGUUUACUUUGAACAAAUUAGAGUGCUUAAAGCAGGCUAAAACUUCGCCUGAAUACUGUGUGCAUGGAAUAAUGGAAUAGGACCUCGGUUCUAUUUUGUUGGUUUUCGGGACCCCGAGGUAAUGAUUAAUAGGAACGGAUGGGGGCAUUCGUAUUGCGACGUUAGAGGUGAAAUUCUUGGAUCG
rnacentral:rRNA from 1 species